AUGCACGCUAGCUACAGGCUUAACACAUGCAAGUCGAGGGGAAACGGCAUCGAAAGCUUGCUUUUGAUGGGCGUCGACCGGCGCACGGGUGAGUAACGCGUAUCCAGCCUGCCCAUCACUUGGGAAUAACCUUGCGAAAGUAAGACUAAUGCCCAAUGACAUCCCACGAAGGCAUCCGAAUGGGAUUAAAGAUUUAUCGGUGAUGGAUGGGGAUGCGUCUGAUUAGCUUGUUGGCGGGGUGACGGCCCACCAAGGCAACGAUCAGUAGGGGUUCUGAGAGGAAGGUCCCCCACAUUGGAACUGAGACACGGUCCAAACUCCUACGGGAGGCAGCAGUGAGGAAGAUUGGUCAAUGGGCGAGAGCCUGAACCAGCCAAGUAGCGUGCAGGAUGACGGCCCUAUGGGUUGUAAACUGCUUUUAUAAGGGAAUAAAGUGGGUCACGUGUGACUUUUUGCAUGUACCUUAUGAAUAAGGACCGGCUAAUUCCGUG
rnacentral:rRNA from 1 species